AGAUCGAGGAAAAGAAAAAGUAAAGGACUAAAUUGUAAAGUUUAGUCACAUUUUGUAUCGAGUACUUAUCUAGUCACUCGGGGACCGAAGGAAAUGUCGGAGGCCGAUCACACUAUCAAAGAAAUAACUCGGUAUAAUUAGACGUUUUGUUUUGUGUAUGGCAUGUAUAGAAACUUAGCCACUUUUGGUAUAAUAUGAACAAUGAAUGAUGUGUAAAUACUUGCUAGUGAUUAGCUAAUAAAAAUGGCCGAUGAUAUGCAUGUUUAUUAA